UGGCUUAGAAGCAGCCAUACAUUCAAAGAGUGCGUAAUAGCUCACUAGUCGAGAGAUCUUGCGCCGAAAAUGUCCGGGGCUAAAACAUACCACCGAAGCUAUGGAAUCAUACUAAGUAUGAUUGGUAGAGGAGCGUUGCAUCGGCGCAGAAGCAGUACCGGAAGGAGCUGUGGAGCUUAUGCAAGUGAGAAUGCCGGAAUGAGUAGCGAGAUAGAAGUGAGAAUCUUCUAGGCCGAAUAUCCAAGGUUUCCAGGGUAAAGCUGAUCUGCCCUGGGUAAGUCGGGACCUAAGGCGAGGACGAAAGUCGUAGUCGAUGGACAACUGGUUGAAAUUCCAGUACCACCUAUUAUCAGAACUGCAGGGACGCAGAAGGAUAGGGAAGGCGCAGAAUGGAAAGCUGCGUGCAAGCACAAAGUCGCAUCUGGUAGGCAAAUCCGCCAGACGAGGAUGAAGUGUGAUGCGGAUCGAAAUAAAAGUAGAGAAGUUCCUGAAUCCACACUGCCGAGAAAAGCUGCUAUUGCGUGAUAGGUGCCCGUACCGUAAACCGACACAGGUGGAUGAGGAGAGAAUCCUAAGGCCGACGGGAGAAGCAUUGUUAAGGAACUCGGCAAAAUGACUCCGUAACUUCGGGAGAAGGAGUGCCAUGUAAAAGUGGCCGCAGAGAAUUGGCCCAAGCAACUGUUUAGCAAAAACACAGGUCUAUGCAAAACCGAAAGGUGAGGUAUAUGGGCUGACGCCUGCCCGGUGCUGGAAGGUUAAGGGGAGAGGUUAGCCGUAAGGCGAAGCUUUGAACUUAAGCCCCAGUAAACGGCGGCCGUAACUAUAACGGUCCUAAGGUAGCGAAAUUCCUUGUCAGGUAAGUUCUGACCCGCACGAAAGGCGUAAUGAUUUGGGCACUGUCUCGACAGCGCACCCGGUGAAAUUGUAGUACCAGUGAAGAUGCUGGUUACCCGCGACAGGACGGAAAGACCCCGUGGAGCUUUACUGUAGCUUGAUACUGAGGUUGGGUAUUACAUGUACAGGAUAGGAGGGAGACUGAGAAAUCUGGACGCCAGUCUAGGUGGAGUCGCCGGUGGGAUACCUCUCUUGUAAUACUUAACUUCUAACCAUGGCCCGUUACCCGGGUCUGGGACAAUGUCAGGUGGACAGUUUGACUGGGGCGGUCGCCUCCUAAAGAGUAACGGAGGCGCUCAAAGGU
rnacentral:rRNA from 1 species